CUUCGUUGUCCGCCAAAACACAAGAAGACGACGAUGGAGUUCAGGUUAAAUGGAGACAGGAGCAGCUAAAUCAUCUUAAAGCCCCAAUGCAACAACUUUAAAUUUGACAGAGUGCCCUCUCAAGCAGCCACAACAGCAAGCUGUGUCACAAGCAAAGCUGGCAAUUCAGCCUCCACCGGAAAAGUUCUCCUGCUACAGCAUUUGAUUUGAAUGGCUAAUGUAAGAAUAUCAGCAGAGAGGAAGCUCAAAAGGACCAGGCUGAGCAAGUCCUAAGGAUCUGUGUCUUCCACACAAGUGAAGAAGAUGAAGUUGCAUCCGAAACUGAUGUCGAUUGUUAUUGAAGGGCAUGAGGUACUUGACAACUGUGGAAGUGUUGCAAAAGACUGUCUCCUGCUCGUAGGCAUCAUUUAUGCCAUGAACUUGAAAAACGAAGUACACUUUUGAAAAUUUUAAAAGCUAAACAAAACUUAUAACUUGAAUGCACAUGUUUGACCCAUGAGUUGUCAUUUCAAAGAGGGCGCUAAAAGAAAAAUAUGGCACAGUUGUUUAUGUGGCUAUUUGUCUAUUUUCUUAUUUUUCUCUCGUUUUAAUGAUGUAGUUUUUAUUUUAACUUGUUGCACUGUAUUAAACAUGUGGCCAUGUAGAGUGGCUAAGUUGUGGGGACAAAAGAAAAGAAGUUAGAUCAGCAUUUUCAAGUCAAACCAGAGGUUCUCAACUGGUGGGUCGUGGGGCCAUUUUCAAUGGGUCACAGAUGUGAGUGUGGGCAUGUAAAGUGCAAGGGGCAAAAUAUCCCACUUUUUAUUGUUAAGAUGCUCUGCUUUUUGUAGGAUAUUACUCAUGAUACAUGUUUAGAACCUCAGGGCAAAACACUGUUCUUUAAGAUGCAAUGUUUAAAGAUGAAACCAAUAAUAAGCAUGUCUUUUAAGAUGCACUGAAGGUUCCUGAAGCAUGUCAAUAUUUUUUUUAGAGAGUUUAAGGUUAAAAAGCCUAUCCAAAAGAUAGGUUACCGUACGUACUGUACGGUACGUACUGUUGGGCAUCGAGAACCGAUUCCUAAUCGGAAUCGUUUCAAAAAUUACGAUUCCAUCAGAAUCGUUUCUUUAU